rnacentral:rRNA from 1 species
UACGUAGGCAGCGAGCGUUGUUCGGAAUUACUGGGCGUAAAGAGUGUGUAGGCGGUGCUCUAAGUUCGGUGUGAAAUCUCCUGGCUCAACUGGGAGGGUGCGCCGGAAACUGGAGUGCUUGAGCGUGGGAGAGGAAAGCGGAAUUCUCGGUGUAGCGGUGAAAUGCGUAGAUAUCGAGAGGAACACCUGCGGCGAAGGCGGGUUGCUGGGCCGACACUGACGCUGAUGCGCGAAAGCCAGGGGAGCGCACGGG